GCCCUUAUAGCUCAGUGGUAGAGCGCAACACUUGUACAAUUCUGCGAGUUAAUGUUGAGGUCCAUCGUUCAAUCCGGUGUGGGGGCA